GCCUGGAUAGCUCACUUGGUUAGAGCGUGGUGCUGAUAACGCCAAGGUUGCAGGUUCAAUCCCUGUAUGGGGCA